CGAGUCCGGUGGACUACGGUCCAUCAGUGGUGAAGGUCAUGCUUCCUAGAAAAGCCCUGACGACCAUAAAUUAACAUUGCCUGUACCCGAAACCGACACAGGUAGGGUGGUAGAGAAUACUAAGGGGCGCGAGAUAACUCUCUCUAAGGAACUCGGCAAAAUGACCCCGUAACUUCGGGAGAAGGGGUACUACAGCAAUGUAGUCGCAGUGAAGAGGCCCAGGCGACUGUUUAGCAAAAACACAGGUCUCCGCUAACUCGUAAGAGGAUGUAUGGGGGCUGACGCCUGCCCAGUGCCGGAAGGUUAAGGAAGUUGGUCAGGGAGCAAUCCUGAAGCUAGCGACUGAAGCCCCGGUGAACGGCGGCCGUAACUAUAACGGUCCUAAGGUAGCGAAAUUCCUUGUCGGGUAAGUUCCGACCCGCACGAAAGGCGUAACGAUCUGGGCACUGUCUCGGAGAGAGACUCGGCGAAAUAGGAAUGUCUGUGAAGAUACGGACUACCUGCACCUGGACAGAAAGACCCUAUGAAGCUUUACUGUAGCUUGGCAUUGGGUUCGGGCUUUGUUUGCGCAGGAUAGGUGGGAGGCGUUGAGGUAGUCCUCGUGGGGACUACGGAGCCAACGGUGAGAUACCACUCUGACAAAGCUAGAAUUCUAACUUCGACCCGUCAACCGGGUGAAGGACAAUUUCAGGUGGGCAGUUUGACUGGGGCGGUCGCCUCCAAAAUGGUAACGGAGGCGUACAAAGGUUCCCUCAGGCUGGUUGGAAAUCAGCCGUAGAGUGUAAAGGCAGAAGGGAGCUUGACUGCGAGACCUACAAGUCGAGCAGGGUGGAAACACGGUCUUAGUGAUCCGACGGCGCUGGGUGGAAGGGCCGUCGCUCAACGGAUAAAAGUUACUCUAGGAUAACAGGCUGAUCUCCCCCAAGAGUUCACACCGACGGGGAGGUUUGGCACCUCGAUGUCGGCUCAUCGCAACCUGGGGCGGAAGUACGUCCCAAGGGUUGGGCUGUUCGCCCAUUAAAGCGGUACGUGAGCUGGGUUCAGAACGUCGUGAGACAGUUCGGUCCAUAUCCGGUGCAGGCGUAAGAGCAUUGAGAGGAGUCUUCCUUAGUACGAGAGGACCGGGAAGGACACACCGCUGGUGUACCUGUUAUCGUGCCAACGGUAAACGCAGGGUAGCCAAGUGUGGAGCGGAUAACCGCUGAAAGCAUCUAAGUGGGAAGCCCACCUCAAGAUGAGUGCUCUCACCAUUUAUGGGUAAGGUCACAGGAAGAACACCUUUGAUAGGCACUAGGUGGAAGUUCAGCAAUGGAUGAAGCCGAGGUGUACUAAUAGACCGAGGGCUUGAC
rnacentral:rRNA from 1 species